rnacentral:rRNA from 1 species
UACGGAAGGUCCGGGCGUUAUCCGGAUUUAUUGGGUUUAAAGGGAGCGCAGGCGGGAGAUUAAGCGUGACGUGAAAUGUAGCCGCCCAACGGCUGAUGUGCGUCGCGAACUGGUUUUCUUGAGUUCACGGAAGGCGUGCGGAAUUCGUGGUGUAGCGGUGAAAUGCUUAGAUAUCACGAAGAACUCCGAUUGCGAAGGCAGCUCGCCGUAGUGUUACUGACGCUGAGGCUCGAAGGUGCGGGUAU